UGGAAAAACCGAAUUAAGCUGAUAGACCUAUGUACCAUAAGUAAAAACCAUCCAAACAAGCGGAUGUGCUAUCUGUCUCAUGAAUUCCAUACGUUUUCAUGUGUACAUCUAUGUUUUCUAUUUCACGAGAUGCAAAAAGAUUGAAAUGCCAUGUUGUAGGGCUAGUUGUGUCAUUGUGUAUGGAUGCCAUGUACUGUAAAAUGGCGUCUUUUUGUGUAUGUCGUACAGAGUCUUCUGUAGUGUUGCUUUGCUUUUUUUUUUUUUUUUGGCUAAGGGAAAAUAUCACUUUUACCAUGUAUCAUCUUUCAUUUGUUUGGAUGUUGAUGGGAUGAAUCCUUUAGCUAGAAUGAGUUUAAGCGGGAGGUUAUUAGUGAGGUUGAUCUCUUUGAACCUUUUGUUAUAAGAUUAGUUUCUGUACACUUGCUUCUUUUAGCCUUCUUUAAUACUUAAAAAUAUAUUGUUAAAAUGUUAAUCUCGUAUAUGCUCAUGCUCAUGCACCUUGUGGAUUAUCAUAUUUACGCUAGAAAAUCGUCUAAUUAAACUAAUUGUAGUGGAGAACAUUGUAUACAUUAUACUUGAUACACAUUCUUGAUGUAGAAUACUUAGCGCCAGGGACAAUUCGAAGGUGUUACAACUAUUUUCCUAGUGUAAUUUAACUAAGGAAUUGCACUAGAGAGUAUGUGUAGCCUGUAAUUAUGGAUGAUUCAUUCAAGUGUAAUUAGCUAAGGAUUAGUCACAAAUUGCCACGUAGGGAAGACUUGAUUUGAGAGAGAUUGUUUGAAGUUGAAAAGAUUUGGUAUCUUGUUCCAUAUUUCGAUGUAAUAUUGGCACUACGGCAGACUUUGCAGUUCUGUCAAACAACUUUCAUACGAAAGGUGACACAGCUUCUUUUGCAGGAAGUUGGUUACCAUGAUUCGUCAUCUCGUUCGACAUCUAGCUCAUCUUCUCGUCCUGCUGCCAAGGACAAGCCACUGAAGAACCCACCGAAGCCUGGCAAGUGAUCGUCUCAUUAAUUCCUUGUACAAUUUUGGCUGCGCCACAAAUUACUAUUUUAUGACUUAGAAUGUGAUUCCUAUACGUUGCAGCUUCUCCUGCUCCUCCUCCAGCCCCCGUACAGAGUCAACCUGCAGCAGGAGGUCUUGGCUCUUCGUUUGCUGAUGGAAUGGCCUUUGGUGGUGGAAAUGCGGUCGGCCAUAGGACAGUGGAUGCCGUGUUAGGCCCGCGGGUUAGACAUGAGGUUGCGGUAGCUGAUCCUGCCCCCUCAGCUGGUUCAACAACUGUUAAUCCUACUUCAUGUGCUGGCCAAAUGAAUGCUUUCCAAGAGUGUCUCAACGUCAAUGGUAGUGACCUAAGCAAGUGCCAGUUUUACAUGGACAUGCUCUGUGAAUGUCGCAGAAGUUUUGCCACUGGCUUGAUUGCUUAAUGUUAUGAUGACGACUAGUUUUGUUGGAUGAGGGCCUCUUUCUUUAGUUAUCACUAGGUUCAUUUAUGGUUGGUAGUUGUUACUGCCAUUUAAUUCUGUAAGAAUCUACUAGCUGUUCACUUGUGAAGGGUUUUGAUGAUUCUUAUUUAUGGUUGGCACCGCAAUAAAUUUAUGAAAUUGCUCUUACUCCUGCUGCUACUUGAGUACACCUCAGAAUCUUUAUGCAUCCUCCAAUAACUUCAAUCACAAUUGACCCUCAGGUUCUAAACUCAAUCAAGAGCAUGAACCUACACUGUUACUUCACCCACAUUUAAGUACUAAUCUUCGUGUUAGUGACAGGG